GGAUUGUGGCUCAGAGGUAGAGUGCUCGCCUAGCAUGCAUGAGGCGCUGGGUUCAAUCCUCAGUACCA
rnacentral:tRNA from 1 species